GCCUGGGUGGCUCAGUCAGUUGAGCAUCUGACUUCAGCUCAGGUCAUGGUAUUGCAGCUUGUGAGCUCAAGCCCCACAUUGGGCU
rfam:Felis catus isolate Cinnamon breed Abyssinian chromosome B3, whole genome shotgun sequence.